AUGAACGCUGGCGGCGUGCCUAAUACCUGCAAGUCGAGCGAACAGACGAGGAGCUUGCUCCUCUGACGUUAGCGGCGGACGGGUGAGUAACACGUGGAUAACCUACCUAUAAGACUGGGAUAACUUCGGGAAACCGGAGCUAAUACCGGAUAAUAUAUUGAACCGCCUGGUUCAAUAGUGAAAGACGGUUUUGCUGUCACUUAUAGAUGGAUCCGCGCCGCAUUAGCUAGUUGGUAAGGUAACGGCUUACCAAGGCAACGAUGCGUAGCCGACCUGAGAGGGUGAUCGGCCACACUGGAACUGAGACACGGUCCAGACUCCUACGGGAGGCAGCAGUAGGGAAUCUGCCGCAAUGGGCGAAAGCUUGACGGAGCAAGGCCGCGUGAGUGAUGAAGGUCUUCGGAUCGUAAAACUCUGUUAUUAGGGAAGAACAAAUGUGUAAGUAACUAUGCACGGCUUGACGGUACCUAAUCAGAAAGCCACGGCUAACUACGUG
rnacentral:rRNA from 1 species